ensembl:lncRNA
AUAAAGCUAAGCAAUGGGUGUCAUUCAACAAAAAAUAAUGGGAGUGUUCUGUACUGUAAGUAUGAAGUAGCUCGUACUCGCAUCCCAUACUCCAGCUCUUGUGAACAGGUGCUGUAUGACAAGUCUUUAUCAUCCAUAAUGAAGAGAAUUUCGUUCUUUCUUUCUUUCUUUUUUUCCUAUUAACAUAAUAUGAAAACCCUGUGAUGUGUAAAAUAGUCAAUUUCACAUUUGGGAAUAGUAUAUGAACUCAACAUACUGCCCUAAGGCUUGUGCUUGAGGGAAAGUCAACUUUGCAGAUAGAUGACUGAACAUGAAGAAGUGAAGUCAGAAAUGUGAGGAACUUGUUGACAUGGCUAAAUGUGAAAAUAGAUGGGAGUUAUUAGGUUGAUAAAAAUAGCAUUAGGAGAUAGAUGUAGAAGUAAAAUGAUACCAAAUCAGAAUGGUGAUGAUUUACACUCACUUUUCACAGGUGUAAAUAACUACAUGAGCACUACGCUAGUCCAGUGCUGCCACUAGACUCCCCAAGUGGAAAGCAGGAUAAGCCCACAGCAACAGCCAGUGCAGCUGAGUCAGCCUGCUGCACCCAUUCAAUGGGUGGGACUUCCAAGAUGCCCUGGAGAAAUCCUGUCUGUUCUAGCUGACAUGGCCAAAAUUCCUCUUUGGGUACGAAUGCUCCUUCUUCACGCCCUGUGUGGCCAAAUGAAGCUACAAUCUGGCCCUAAUUUUGCAGCUCGUCUCAACAGAUGGAUGGUGUUGCGCUCUGCACCUGCUGGACAAAUUAAUCCGCUUGAAGUCUUCACGUUUGCACUGCUUAAGGAGCGCUUAGGUGCCUCUCCACCGACUUGGGCUAAGAUCACCUUCUACCAUGUGAGGGGGAUACAUUUCUUGGAAAACUUCAUGAGGUCCCAAAGUACGAUCCUUUCAGAAGCUGCACCUCAAAUGUGCAGCUAUCCCAGGCUCUCCAUGGAUCUUGGGGGAUCUGCACAGCACAGACAUCCCCUCCAUACUAUUCUUUGGAGCCCCCGGUGCUAUUUGUUCCCUUGCCACAUGUGUACCUUGCCCAUCCACACAUGUGAAGGGGAAGGUAGAAGGUGCAUAGAUUGGAAUUUGGUCAUUAAAGCUGUAGUGAACCAUAUUCAGUUCAGUAGCUUUAGAGAAAGAGGAUGACACACAGAGCCACCAUCAACCCAUUCAUGUCCCCCAAAACUCACAGAGCCCCAACAGUCCACAGUUUGCACCAUGGAACUUCCAUGAGAUCAAAGGAAGAAAGAAUGAGGUGAUGCCACUUGGGCUUUAGUCUCAGUUUUACAUAUAUCUGUUUCCUAACGGUGCAAAAGAAAUUGGGGUGGGGGGACCAAGUCUUGCAGUCAUGUUGAAUGGGGGAUAUCAACAGGACAGGUUAGGGUGAGCAAAUUAUACUUUAAAUUAGUGAGUCCUAUAGGACUCAGCAUCACCUAGCAGAGCUAACACCUGUUAACAGGUAUGGUCCUCAGAAGCCCACUGCUAUCCUGUUACACUGCCCUUGCCAUGUUUCAUGUUCAUUAAAAGAUGCUCACAUGAGGUUUUUGGAGAAACAAACACACAAAAGGUAGUCUUAUAACUACUUGUAAAGAUAUUUAACAGGGAGGAAUCAUUAUGAAGUAUGAUCUGAUUUUAUUUUUAAUAUUUUUUUAUUGGGGACAUUGUUACUGAUGUUACCUUUUACUGAUCUUUGAAAGGGAGGUAAGAAAAUGAAGUGCAAUCUUUUCAGAGACUUUGAAGUGUUUCUGAUGCGUGAAGGUGAGUGUGUAUAUCUAGUGUGUUGAGAGUACCUGUCAUUCAUAUAUAUAUAUGAAUGACAGGUACACUCAAGACACCAUAUAUAUAAAAUACUAUAUAUAUAUAGUACUUGUGGUCUGCGCCAUGUGUCAGAUUGCUAUAUGUUGGCAUGCUGUGUUGGUGUGAGGUGUAUUGUAUUGGCGAAUCGGUCAGUGUGUUGUGUGUGUGCCAGUUUGGGAUGUGUUUACACAUGUGGUUGGUGUGUUGUUUGGUGUCAUUGGCGUGUGUCAGUAUGAGUUGUGUAUAUCAAUUGUUUGUAUCAUUCAGUAUGAUGUAUGCACAUUACAUUGGGAGCAUAUGUUGUGGUGUGUUUGGGGUCUAUGUUGAAAUACAGGUGCAUUGGCCUGUA